CCAUUUACCCCCCGUGGCCUCCUGCCCCUAGCCUCCUUACCCCCUCAAUAGGUGGGACAGGAUGGCAAGAGUGGGUUGGAGUUGGAUAUUUCACUUCCCUCAAGUCAGUUAGGCUCUGAUAAACUCCCAGCAGGUUAGGGUCUGGUUAGUUUCUCCUGAAGGCAGGUCUUUGUUAAGACCAGAAUCCUCUACCAUAUUUCACAAUGGUUCCUUUCCCCUUCCCCCUACUGGAAUCAGGAGGAAGUUUUCCUUUAAUAUUCACUGUGAAAAACUGGUAGAUCUUCAGAAGGUAAAACACUAAAGUGUGAAGACCCCUGAUGACCAGGUCCCCUUGGAGUUUUUCUCUCAGACUUGUCCACAGUUAACCUCUAGCAAUUCAUCAAUUAUAGUUCAGGCUUUUCUACCCUGCACUGGUUCCCAUGGAGGUUUUUGCUUAUGGAUUUCUACUCUGGUAAAAGAAAAUGGAAGGAAGUUAGAAUAUAAUCUGAGAGCUUUGAAAAGUGUUGCAUUGUACAGAUCCAGAAAAAGUCAAUCAUGUCUUGUAGACUUCUGUCCACGUCUCUAGAACAGUCGACGCAUUAAACAAAAAGUAUUGAAGGUAGCUGGCCUAAAUACACACAGGCAAUAAGAAAAAAAGAUCUCAUCAAAAAUUGGUGGAAGAGGAAAUAAAUAUAAAGGAAAAGUGAGCGUAGAAAAGUUGCUUCCAGUAUACUCAAGUGUUUCCCAAGCCCACAGACAUGGCUGUGCUCUACUGCCCACUCCGUCCUCCUCAGAGAUGUCUUUCCCAGGGCCUCUCUUUCUAGCUCCAAUCUGACCUGGGUCAUCCUCCUGCUCAGCUGUUAUCCCGGGAUUUUGCUUCGCUGCUGUCUUGGGUUGGAGACAUUGUUUCCUGGAUCUCAUGCACUUUUGUUUAUG
rnacentral:lncRNA from 1 species